rnacentral:rRNA from 1 species
GCCUAACACAUGCAAGUCGAACGGUAACAGGAAGCAGCUUGCUGCUUCGCUGACGAGUGGCGGACGGGUGAGUAAUGUCUGGGAAACUGCCUGAUGGAGGGGGAUAACUACUGGAAACGGUAGCUAAUACCGCAUAACGUCGCAAGACCAAAGAGGGGGACCUUCGGGCCUCUUGCCAUCGGAUGUGCCCAGAUGGGAUUAGCUAGUAGGUGGGGUAACGGCUCACCUAGGCGACGAUCCCUAGCUGGUCUGAGAGGAUGACCAGCCACACUGGAACUGAGACACGGUCCAGACUCCUACGGGAGGCAGCAGUGGGGAAUAUUGCACAAUGGGCGCAAGCCUGAUGCAGCCAUGCCGCGUGUAUGAAGAAGGCCUUCGGGUUGUAAAGUACUUUCAGCGGGGAGGAAGGCGACAGGGUUAAUAACCCUGUCGAUUGACGUUACCCGCAGAAGAAGCACCGGCUAACUCCGUGCCAGCAGCCGCGGUAAUACGGAGGGUGCAAGCGUUAAUCGGAAUUACUGGGCGUAAAGCGCACGCAGGCGGUCUGUCAAGUCGGAUGUGAAAUCCCCGGGCUCAACCUGGGAACUGCAUUCGAAACUGGCAGGCUAGAGUCUUGUAGAGGGGGGUAGAAUUCCAGGUGUAGCGGUGAAAUGCGUAGAGAUCUGGAGGAAUACCGGUGGCGAAGGCGGCCCCCUGGACAAAGACUGACGCUCAGGCGCGAAAGCGUGGGGAGCAA